rnacentral:lncRNA from 10 species
AGGUAACCAAUGUUAGAGCCUGGUGUGUAUCUUUCAGAGGAUAGUUUCUUUGUGAUUGUGAGUAGCUUAGCUGUUGAGCAAGCCACUGGAUACAAGACUAACCUUACAGAAAGGUCAAUCCUGGAUGGGUAGGAUGUCAUCAACAUAUGAGGCAUGGUUAAAACCAUGAAUGUGGAUGAGAUCCUCCCGGAGGAUCACAUAAAGAGGUCAGCGCACUGUGACCUGACUUACGGGGAUUACUAUAUGGAAGCUGCAUACAAAGAUCAGAGGUCCAGCAGGGAGAGUGGGGACAAUGAGUUUUGGGUGGAAAUUCUGACAACACAGGAUUAAAACACUGAGGAUGUCCCUUUACAUCGAGAAAGUGCUGAAUAAACAUCCUGAAGGAGUGGAAAUGAACAGUGUCCUGUAACCCUCAGAGUGAGACUAGAGUCAGAAUGCAGGCUUUUCUCAUUUGAAAUCUAUAUGCCACAGAGAGGAUCCAGAGAGCCCAUCUCCGGUCAGUUAUCUGUAUUUGUAUGUCAACUACAGCAUCAAAAAGCAUAGGCAUGGAUACUAAGGACCCCCUCUGUACACCAACGCCAGUCCAAAGGACAGUGUGUCACUGUGAACUGGAAAUUCAUCUCUCUUCUUCAAUUUUUUUCUACCUACUUUAUGCUUUAUCUCUAAGUUGAGGCUGUUUAUGGCCUCAUCCUCAAUUACCUUGUCCCUC